rnacentral:rRNA from 1 species
CCCUUAGAUGUUCUGGGCCGCACGCGUGCUACACUGAGUGGAUCAGCGGGUCAGGUUGCGCGAAAGCGUUUCCUAAUCUUUAAAUCCGCUCGUGAUGGGGAUUGACGGUUGCAAUUUUUUGUCAUGAACGAGGAAUACCUUGUAAGCGCGGGUCAUCAUCCCGCGCUGAAUACGUCCCUGCCCUUUGUACACACCGCCCGUCGCUCCUACCGAUUGAAUGUUCCGGUGAGCUCUUCGGACUGCGCGGUCUGCAGUUUCUGCGUUCCGUGCGGAAAGUUGCGCAAACCUUAACAUUUAGAGGAAGGAGAAGUCGUAACA